UGGUAGUCCGCACGAGCGCAACCCUUGUCCUUAGUUGCCACCAUUCAGUUGGGCGACUCUAAGGAGACUGCCGGUGUUAAACCGGAGGAAGGUGGGGAUGACGUCAAGUCCUCAUGGCCCUUAUAUCCAGGGCUACACACGUGCUACAAUGGCCGGUACAAAGGGUCGCAAUACCGCGAGGUGGAGCUAAUCCCAAAAAGCCGGUCUCAGUUCGGAUUGGAGUCUGCAACUCGACUCCAUGAAGUCGGAGUUGCUAGUAACCGCGCGUCAGCUAUAGCGCGGUGAAUACGUUCCCGGGCCUU
rnacentral:rRNA from 1 species